GAUGAACGCUGGCGGCGUGCCUAAUACAUGCAAGUCGAGCGAACAGAUGAUGAGCUUGCUCCUCUGACGUUAGCGGCGGACGGGUGAGUAACACGUGGAUAACCUACCUAUAAGACUGGGAUAACUUCGGGAAACCGGAGCUAAUACCGGAUAAUAUAUUGAACCGCAUGGUUCAUUAGUAAAAGUCGGUUUUGCUGUCAGUAAUAGAGGGAUCCGCGCUGCAUUAGCUAGUUGGUAAGGUAACGGCUUACCAAGGCAACGAUGCGUAGCCGACCUGAGAGGGUGAUCGGCCACACUGGAACUGAGACACGGUCCAGACUCCUACGGGAGGCAGCAGUAGGGAUUCUUCCGCAAUGGGCGAAAGCCUGACGGAGCAACGCCGCGUGAGUGAUGAAGGUCUUCGGAUCGUAAAACUCUGUUAUUAGGGAAGAACAAAUGUGUAAGUAACUAUGCACGUCUUGACGGUAACUAAUCAGAAAGCCACGGCUAACUACGUG
rnacentral:rRNA from 1 species